AAGUGAAAUUUAGUUUUUGUAGGUAAUAAAAUUUAUUUGUUAUUAGGGUUGAAACCAUUAAAAUUUGGAUAUAAACUAGGAUUAGAUACCCUAUUAUACUAUAUUUAAAUUAUUUAUGCUUGAGUAGUAAUUAGAUAUGAUCUUGAAACUUAAAGGAUUUGGCGGUAUUUUAGUCUUGUUAGAGGAACCUGUUCUUUAAACGAUAAACCUCGAAGUAUCUUACUUUAUUAAGUUUUCAGUUUGUAUAUCGCCAUUAGUAGAUAGUUUUUAUAGAAGGUUAUUAAAAUAGUAAAUAUACUAGAAUAUUAGGUCAAGGUGCAGCUAAUAAUAAAGGAAGUAAUGGGUUACAAUAAAUUAAGUUUAUAACGGAAUAAAAAUAUAAUUUUUUUAUGAAGGAGGAUUUAAUAGUAAUUUUUAUUUAAUAUGAUAAGUUGAUAUAAGCUCUAAAAUAUGUA
rnacentral:rRNA from 1 species